CUACGGGCGGCACCAGUGAGGAAUAUUGCACAAUGGAGGAAACUCUGAUGCAGCAACGCCGCGUGGAGGAUGACGCAUUUCGGUGUGUAAACUCCUUUUAUAUGUCAAGAAAAUGACGGUAGCAUAUGAAUAAGCUCCGGCUAACUCCGUGCCAGCAGCCGCGGUAAUACGGAGGGAGUAAGCGUUACUCGGAAUCACUGGGCGUAAAGGACGCGUAGGCGGGAUAGAAAGUCAGGUGUGAAAUCCUAUGGCUCAACCAUAGAACUGCACUUGAAACUUCUAACCUAGAGUAUGGGAGGGGAAGAUGGAAUUAGUGGUGUAGGGGUAAAAUCCGUAGAUAUCACUAGGAAUACCAAAAGCGAAGGCGAUCUUCUGGAACAAUACUGACGCUAAGGCGUGAAAGCGUGGGGAGCAAACAGGAUUAGAUACCCCGGUAGUC
rnacentral:rRNA from 1 species